rnacentral:rRNA from 1 species
UACGGAGGGUGCAAGCGUUAUCCGGAUUCACUGGGCGUAAAGGGUGCGUAGGCGGGUUUUUAAGUCAGGGGUGAAAUCCUGGAGCUCAACUCCAGAACUGCCUUUGAUACUGAAGAUCUUGAGUUCGGGAGAGGUGAGUGGAACUGCGAGUGUAGAGGUGAAAUUCGUAGAUAUUCGCAAGAACACCAGUGGCGAAGGCGGCUCACUGGCCCGAUACUGACGCUGAGGCACGAAAGCGUGGGGAGCAAACAGG